rnacentral:rRNA from 1 species
GAUGAACGCUAGCGGCAGGCCUAAUACAUGCAAGCUGAACGGCAAGAUUUGUAGCAAUACGAGUCCUAGAGUAGCGUAAGGGUGCGUAACACGUAUGCAAUCUGCCCGCAACAGGAGGAUAGCUUAGCGAAAGUUGAGAUAAGACUCCAUAAGAUCACGAGAGGGCAUCUGAUUGUGAUUAAACUACAAGGGGUUGCGGAUGAGCAUGCGUCUGAUUAGUUAGUUGGCGGGUAACGCCACAAGACGAUGAUCAGUAGGGGAACUGAGAGGUUCGGUCCCC